GUGCUUGCUUCGACAGUGCAUAUACUAAAACUGGAAAAAUGCAGAGAAGAUUAGCAUGACCCCUGUGCAAGUAUGACACACAAAUUCAUGAAGCGUUCCAUAAUUUU
rnacentral:snRNA from 1 species